rnacentral:rRNA from 1 species
UACGAAGGGGACUAGCGUUGUUCGGAAUCACUGGGCGUAAAGCGCACGUAGGCGGAUAUGUCAGUCAGGGGUGAAAUCCCGGGGCUCAACCUCGGAACUGCCUUUGAUACAGCAUGUCUUGAGUCCGAUAGAGGUGGGUGGAAUUCCUAGUGUAGAGGUGAAAUUCGUAGAUAUUCGCAAGAACACCAGUGGCGAAGGCGGCUUACUGGUCCGGUUCUGACGCUGAGGCGCGAAAGCGUGGGGAGCAAACAGG